rnacentral:misc_RNA from 1 species
GCCUUCUAAACAAUGUUUACCAAUAAACAUAUAAAGUUGAACAGCAGUAAUAAAUGAGGAGCUAUCGUUAAAUAACAUUUCCGUGGACCAAGAGCACCAGAGGCUCCUAUCCUCCCAAUCACCAACACCAUAUCCUCGCCCGAAACAUGGAACCAUACAAGUUUAUUAAAACAUUACUCAGUAAACCUCCACAUGCCACUGCUUGUUCUUUUUCAGCUGCAAGAGCUUCUCCUCCCACUUCUCUCCCCUCAGCUCCGCAACCCUCUUCAGUGUGUCCUGAA